UUUUAUUUUUUUUUAAGUUAGUUGAGUACAAGUUUGGCCAGGGUAUGUAUUCAUGAAAAGUGCUAAAGGAUCUCUACCUGUUCCUGUGACAUGGGGAUGAGAAAGACCAGUUCUCCCUGUUGCCAGCAACCAACCUAUCAAAAGGAUGGAGAAAAGUACACCCUGGGACUUUUUACUUCUUCCAGCAAACUUCAGUUCGACCAUGGGGCAUUCAGACAGGAGUGAACCAGGACCUAUAAAAUGCACAUGGGAAGCCAUCAGAGUCAGCAGAAGAGACAUCCACAUGUAAAGAAUGGUGACACUGAGUACCAUCAAAACCAGCCUGAAGCCACCUUCG
ensembl:lncRNA